AGAUUUUAUUCCCGAAAUAAGAAGAUCUAAUUAUAAAAAUUUUUUAGAAUAUAAUUUGAAUGUAGCAAAUAUUUAAAAUAUAUUUUUAAUUAGGGGUGAAAGGCUUUCAAUUCUUAUGAUAUCUGGAUAUCAAUUAAAUGUAUUUAGUACAGGUUUUACUGAUUUUAAGAGUAUUAAGACUCUUAAAUAAGAAAAAUGUACUUUUAAGUAAUUGUUUUAGGAUUAAACUCUAGAUAAUUUAAUUCGCAUUAAAAUCAAUUAGAAGUGUUUUUCCCUUUUAAUUGUUAUCUUUGUUAAGUAUAAUAAAAUUUAUAUUGUUUAAAUUAGUAACAUUACUAAUUUUUUAAAGUAACUAGGCAAAUAUACUAUUCGACUGUUUAACAAAAACAUAGCUUAUUGAAAUUAUUUUAAGUGAGUCCUGCCCGGUGAAUUUUUAACGGCCGCAGUACCUUGACUGUGCUAAGGUAGCAUAAUAAAUUGGCUUUUAAUUGGAGUCUUGCAUUAACGGGCUUUCGUAUAGUUUCUGUCUCUUGAAAAUUAUUAUUAAAUUAAUUAAAAGGUGAAAAUUCCUUUAUUUUAAAAUAUUAGACAAGAAGACCCUUAGAGUUUUAAAUAAAAAUUUAUUAUAUUCUUUUUGUUGGGGCGACAAGGUAGCAUAAUUAAACCUACCUAUUUUAUAUAUGCCGAAUAAUAUGAAUAAAUAAACUACCUAAGGGAUAACAGCAUAAUUAAUUUUUUGAUUGUGACCUCGAUGUUGGAUUAGGAAAUAUUAUGGCUAGACGUUAUUAUAUUUAGUUCUGUUCGAACAAAAUCUCCUACAUGAUCUGAGUUCAGACCGGCGUAAGCCAGGUCAGAU
rnacentral:rRNA from 1 species